rnacentral:rRNA from 1 species
CCUACGUGGUGCUGCAGUGGGGAAUAUUGCACAAUGUGGGAAACCCUGAUGCAGCGACGCCGCGUGAGUGAAGAAGUAAGUCGUUACGUAAAGCUCUAUCAGCAGGGAAGACACACUGACCUUACGGUCAGCAGACGGUACCUGAGUAAGAAGCCCCGGCUAACUACGUGCCAGCAGCCGCGGGAAUACGGAGGGGGCAAGCGUUAUCCGGAUUUCCUGGGUGUAAAGGGAGCGUAGACGGUGCGCCAAGUCUGGAGGGAAAUGCCGCAGCUUAACUGCGGAACUGGUUUGGAAACUGGCGAACGAGAUGGCGGGAGGGGUAAGCGGAAUUCCUAGGGUAGCGGUGAAAUGCGUAGAUAUUAGGAGGAACACCGGUGGCGAAGGCGGCUUACUGGACCGUAACUGACGUUGAGGCUCGAAAGCGUGGGGAGCAAACAGGAUUAGAUACCCUUGUAGUC